UACGGAGGGUGCGAGCGUUGUCCGGAAUCACUGGGCGUAAAGGGCGCGUAGAUGGCGGAGCAAGUCAACGGUGAAAGCUCGACGCUCAACGUCGAGUCGGCCGUCGAGACUGCUUUGCUCGAGCACUGUAGAGGCAGAUGGAAUUCCGGGUGUAGCGGUGGAAUGCGUAGAGAUCCGGAAGAACACCGGUGGCGAAGGCGGUCUGCUGGGCAGUUGCUGACACUGAGGCGCGACAGCGUGGGGAGCAAACAGG
rnacentral:rRNA from 1 species